CCACCCGCCGAGCUCCAGCGCGUAACCCGGAACCGUCGCGGCGUCGCUUUUAGGUGUCCCCGAGGGGUGGAGAGGACUCUCAAGCCUCGAUUAACAGCGAGCAGUCACAAAGGCAACGGUUGUAAACGAAACAGCAAGGGUCAAGAAUCAGGAGACCAGAGUUCUCUUCCCAGUAAUUUGCCAGCAUAAUUUGGACAGGGGACAUGGGUUCGAACCCUGGUCCGGGAAGAUCCCACAUGCCGUGGGGCAACUAAGCUCGUGCGCCACAACUACUGAGCCUGCACUCUAGAGUCUGUGAGCCACAACUACUGAAGCCAUGCUCCUAGAGCCCGUGCUCUGCAACAAAAGAAGCCACCACAGUGAGAAGCCCACGCACCGCAACGAAGAGUAGCCCCCGCUCGCUGCAACUAGAGAAAGGCCCGCGCGCAGCAAUGAAGACCCAAUGCAGCCAAAAAAAAGAACAGAUACCAUGAGGAUAGCCAUCACGACUGCGGUAUCCUAAGGUCCAGCAGUGCCUUAAAUACAGGACUUUUUAAAUAAAUAUUUGUCGACGAAAUUAAGGAAGGGUUUGGAGAGGAGAGAAAGAAGAAA